rnacentral:sRNA from 19 species
UCAUCACCAUACUGUAUUAGUGAUAAAAAAGUAUAAGGGACAAUAACAAAAGUCUCCCAUCCGUGGGAGACGUUUUGACCAGUU